rnacentral:rRNA from 1 species
AUUGAACGCUGGCGGCGUGCCUAACACAUGCAAGUCGAGCGGUAACAGGCGUAGCAAUACGUGCUGACGAGCGGCGGACGGGUGAGUAAUGCUUGGGAAUCUUCCCGGUAGUGGGGAACAACCAACCGAAAGGUUGGCUAAUACCGCAUACGUUCUACGGAAGAAAGCGGGGGACCGUAAGGCCUCGCGCUAUCGGAUGAGCCCAAGUCGGAUUAGCUAGUUGGCGGGGUAAUGGCCCACCAAGGCGACAAUCCGUAGCUGGUCUGAGAGGACGACCAGCCACACUGGGACUGAGACACGGCCCAGACUCCUACGGGAGGCAGCAGUGGGGAAUAUUGGACAAUGGGGGCAACCCUGAUCCAGCGACGCCGCGUGUGUGAAGAAGGCCUGCGGGUUGUAAAGCACUUUUAGUGGGGAUGAAAAGCACCGGGCUAAUACCCAGGUGUCUUGACCUAACCUACAGAAAAGCACCGGCUAACUCUGUGCCAGCAGCCGCCGU